rnacentral:rRNA from 1 species
UACGGGGGGGGCUAGCGUUGUUCGGAUUUACUGGGCGUAAAGCGCACGUAGGCGGAUCGUUAAGUCAGGGGUGAAAUCCCGGAGCUCAACUCCGGAACUGCCUUUGAUACUGGCGAUCUUGAGGCUGGAAGAGGUUAGUGGAAUUCCCAGUGUAGAGGUGAAAUUCGUAGAUAUUGGGAAGAACACCAGUGGCGAAGGCGGCUAACUGGUCCAGAUCUGACGCUGAGGUGCGAAAGCGUGGGGAGCAAACAGGG